GCCCCGAUAGCUCAGCUGGAUAGAGCAAGUGGGUUCUAACCAUUAGGUCGGGGGUUCGAAUCCCUCUCGGGGUACCA
rnacentral:tRNA from 1 species